CCUACGGGAGGCAGCAGUGGGGAAUUUUGGACAAUGGGCGCAAGCCUGAUCCAGCAAUGCCGCGUGAGUGAAGAAGGCCUUCGGGUUGUAAAGCUCUUUUGUCAGGGAAGAAACGGUGUUUCCUAAUACGGAAUGCUAAUGACGGUACCUGAAGAAUAAGCACCGGCUAACUACGUGCCAGCAGCCGCGGUAAUACGUAGGGUGCAAGCGUUAAUCGGAAUUACUGGGCGUAAAGCGUGCGCAGGCGGUUAUAUAAGUCAGAUGUGAAAUCCCCGGGCUCAACCUGGGAACUGCAUUUGAGACUGUAUGGCUAGAGUGUGUCAGAGGGGGGUAGAAUUCCACGUGUAGCAGUGAAAUGCGUAGAUAUGUGGAGGAAUACCGAUGGCGAAGGCAGCCCCCUGGGAUAACACUGACGCUCAUGCACGAAAGCGUGGGGAGCAAACAGGAUUAGAUACCCUGGUAGUCCACGCCCUAAACGAUGUCUACUAGUUGUCGGGACUUAAUUGUCAUGGUAACGCAGCUAACGCGUGAAGUAGACCGCCUGGGGAGUACGGUCGCAAGAUUAAAACUCAAAUGAAAUUGACGG
rnacentral:rRNA from 1 species